rnacentral:rRNA from 1 species
UAUCUCUGUAGAGUCUGCAUAUCAAUAAGCGGAGGAAAAGAAACUAACAAGGAUUCCCCUAGUAACGGCGAGUGAAGCGGGAAGAGCUCAAAUUUGAAAUCUUAAAGGGUUUCCCUUUACGAAUUGUAGUUUAAAGAAGUGUUUUCUGUUGGAGUUUCGGUAAAAGUUCUUUGGAAUAGGACAUCAUAGAGGGUGAGAAUCCCGUAUUUGACCGUUACUUUCCAGCUGUGUGAUACACUUUCAAAGAGUCGGAUUGUUUGGGAAUGCAGUCCAAGAUGGGUGGUAAAUUUCAUCUAAAGCUAAAUAUUGGCGAGAGACCGAUAGCGAACAAGUACCGUGAGGGAAAGAUGAAAAGAACUUUGAAAAGAGAGUUAAACAGUACGUGAAGUUGUCAAAAGGGGAGCGUUUGACACCAGUGUUGUUUAGUUGAAAAUCAAUUCAAUAGUUUUUGAUUCUAAGUAGUAUUGACUUCAUCAGCUUGCUGCUUUCUUCUCAGAAAUUAUUGAAUGCAACUUUUCAGUUAACAAGUCAACAUCAAUUUCUUUUGUUGUAAAAGGGUAUAGAGGAAGGUGGCUUUCUUUUCGGAGAAAGUGUUUAUAGCCUUUGAUCUCUGCAACCGGAGAGACUGAGGUCUGCAGCGUAGACUCUUCGGGGUUAAAUACAUUUGUGCUAAGCUAUAGCUUUUUAUAGACAACUUGUUGACUAUAUUUAGUCUUGUGGCUUACUCGCUUAUGCUAUUUUACCUACGCUUAGGAUGUUGACGCAUGAGAUAUACGC